UUCACAUUUGUAACAAGAAGAAAGCUUUGAAUUUACAAAAUGCUAGACUAUUUUUAGGUGGAAGAAAAUGAUCUCAUAUUUUGGCUUGCGUUUAGCUAAAUUGAUGCAUAGAUUUUCAGUACAGCAGAACAUACUUAAAUAGUCUGUCGGAUGCUUCUUUGUGAACGUAGCACGAAAUCUAAUUCCUGAACUGGAAAAUAAAUGAAAUGCAUAAUCUUUAUUAAAUGCUGUUAUAAGCAAACUAAGGAUGUUAGUAUGCUAUUGCUUUGUUACUUUAGAUAUAUUGAAAAGGUAACCUGGAAAAGAUACCCCUGUCUGAAUCAGUCCCAGUGCUUGAGAAGACAGAUUUGGGAACUCAUAUUAUGUCAUUCAUCUACCUUGACUUCACAAGAAUGGACACUUCUCAGUAAAGGAGAACAGAUACUUUCUGUCUAAGCCAGCAGAUUUUGAAUGGCAUUCCAUACUACAGCUGGUGACAGAUACUGGAAAGUUGGAUGUCCAAACAUUGGAUGCAGAUAGAUAGAAGCAGCACAGAUGUCACCCUCCCUAAUUUAUCGAUUGUAAUCCUUCAGCGAGGCCAGGAUAGCUGAAGCAAUAGCUGUGGAGGCCUUACCACCAACAAAACCCUGCCCCACACCUACGGAGAAAACUAGACCCCGACUUACAGGAUUUGUGGUAAACAGCCAUAAACUGUUCCAUCUGUGCUGGUGCAGGUGCUGGGAUCUCCAGUAGACAGUGUUGACAUCACAGCUGGUAUCCUAAUGCUGAUGGAAGCAGUCAGUGAAACUGCAGUGUCUGUGGGGCGUUAACAACAGCCUUUUCCUUUGGAUUGGUGACAGUGAGAGAGAAGGCUGCAAAUUUUGCUUGGGCAUGGAAUAAAGAAAACUCCAAACCACCACUGAAAGUUUAAUGAUGACAAGCACAUAAAAAUGGAAGUGACAAGAUUAUUUCGCAGAAGGAAAUUGUAACUUUCCAUAUUUAAAAAGGUUUGGGUGGAUUUUAUUGUUUUAAGUAGGUAAGAGGUGUUGAUUUGAAACCCAGGGUAGGGGGAGGUUUAAUGAUACAGAAAUAGAGAAUGUUUGAAGAUUAUGAUUCAUCACACCAGCCUGCUUGUUUUAAAAUAGAUACUUAUGUGUCUAGAUAGAUGGCUAUGAAUUUUCAACUUUUUCACCUAUUUAACUGUACAAAGUUUUGGCAUGAAGGAUAUGCGAAAACAUAUGCUCUGUGGUCCAACAGAAUCAACGUUAUAUAUGCAUAGAGAUCAGUGUGGUUUCAUUCCAGUUCACUCUUAUUUCAUAAAAUUUCUCCUAACAUCAUAGAAAAAAAAAGUCACAACACUUUUUGCCUGCCUCAACAUUAUGCAAUAAAUUAUUUAAUCAUUAUAAGCAUAAAGGCAGUGCCAUUUUCCUUAUGCGUGACAGUCUUCUGAAAAGGUAUAAAACUCAUUAAAUUAUGUUCUUAAGUCCAAGAUAUGAGGGAGUGUCUUUCUUCAAACUUUAUAAAUCCUUCAAACAGAUCUCAUUAGUUAGGCAUUUGAGGAUGAAACUAAUGGAUGCCCUGAGUAUGGUAAGACUGUAAGCUCUGCUAUGACUGGAACUCUAACAGGCACACUAAGCCUGAUUAGGCGCUGCCAGCAGUAUGGAGCUCAAACAGACUGAGUCACUGAAGGACAUACCCAACACUCAGUUGGGUUUUGCAGCCUGUGCUGAACUCUGUACUACUGAUACCCAAGUAAGACAAUUUAUAUUACACUGAGUACAUCUGCAAGGGAGACCUCAACAACAACAGCCUUGCAGACAAUUCCCAAGUUGCCAAUAUUGCCAACUGCCAAAUUAUUUCAUAGACUAAAAUUGUGUAGUUGCUGUUAUCAGAAUUCAAAUGGAAUACAGUGCGCUACUACAUACCACACAACAUGGCCUUCCUAACUCCUGUGAGACAUGGGAAUCAGUGAUGCAA
ensembl:lncRNA